rnacentral:rRNA from 1 species
UACAGAGGGUGCAAGCGUUGUUCGGAAUUAUUGGGCGUAAAGGGCGCGUAGGCGGUUCGGCAAGUCUCUAGUGAAAUCUCUGGGCUCAACUCAGAGUCUGCUGGGGAAACUGCCGGGCUUGAGUGUGGGAGAGGAGAGUGGAAUUCCCGGUGUAGCGGUGAAAUGCGUAGAUAGUCGGGAGGAACACCUGUGGCGAAAGGCGGCUCUCUGGGACGGUACUGACGCUGAGGCGGCGAAAAGCGUGGGGAGCAAACAGG